UAGGUGGCAAGCGUUAUCCGGAAUUAUUGGGUGGAAAGGGUGUGUAGGCGGGACUUUAAGUCAGACGUGAAAAUCAAAGGCUAAACCAUUGACCUGCGUUUGAAACUGGAGUUCUUGAGAGUGGGAGAGGUAAACGGAAUUCCUGGUGUAGCGGUGAAAUGCGUAGAUAUCAGGAGGAACACCGGUGGCGAAGGCGGUUUACUGGACCACAACUGACGCUGAGACACGAAAGCGUGGGGAGCAAA
rnacentral:rRNA from 1 species